ACGGGUUCAGCUCAACCCCCCGGAGCUGAACUCUCGCGACCCCCGCCCCUCCCCCCCGGCGGGGGUCGUCCCCU
rnacentral:ncRNA from 1 species